GUGGGGAAUAUUGGACAAUGGGCGCAAGCCUGAUCCAGCCAUGCCGCGUGGAUGAUGAAGGCCCUAGGGUUGUAAAGUCCUUUCGGCGGGGAAGAUAAUGACGGUACCCGCAGAAGAAGCCCCGGCUAACUUCGUGCCAGCAGCCGCGGUAAUACGAAGGGGGCUAGCGUUGCUCGGAAUCACUGGGCGUAAAGCGCACGUAGGCGGUUUCCUAAGUCGGUGGUGAAAUCCUGGAGCUCAACUCCAGAACUGCCUCCGAUACUGAGAGACUACGAGUCCGGGAGAGGUGAGUGGAACUGCGAGUGUAGAGGUGAAAUUCGUAGAUAUUCGCAAGAACACCAGUGGCGAAGGCGGCUCACUGGCCCGGUACUGACGCUGAGGUGCGAAAGCGUGGGGAGCAAACAGGAUUAGAAACCCGAGUAGUCC
rnacentral:rRNA from 1 species